rnacentral:rRNA from 1 species
CACCCGCAGCCCAAGUGGUGACCGCUUUUAUUGGGCCUAAAGCGUUCGUAGCCGGCUCGGUAAAUGCUUGGGUAAAUCAUGAGGCCUAACUUCAUGAAUUCCGAGUAGACUACCGGGCUCGGGACCGGAUGAGGGAGAGAGUACUCCAGGGGUAGGGGUGAAAUCCCGUAAUCCUUGGAGGACUACCGGUGGCGAAGGCGCUCUCCUAAUACGGGUCCGACGGUGAGGGACGAAAGCCAGGGGAGCAAACCGGAUUAGAUACCCGGGUAGUCCUGGCCGUAAACGAUGUGGGCUUGGUAUUUGGAUGGUCAUGAGCCAUUCAAGUGCCGUAGGGAAGCCGUUAAGCCCAUCGCCUGGGGAGUAUGGUCGCAAGGCUGAAACUUAAGGAAUUGGCGGGGGAGCACUGCAACGGGAGGAGCGUGCGGUUU